CUCCUGGAUGGCAAUCGAAACAAUUUAACAGAUUCACCAGUGGUGGUAGUAAUGCAAAAAGGCCAGAUCGAGCUCAUCUUACUUUAUUUGGGGGAGAGCAGUCUGCGGCAGCAGCCCAAGCACUUGAAGAAUUUAAAAGCAAACUUAUGGCGAAUACUUCACAAGGCCCUGCUGAAACAACAUCUGAUGCUCAUUCUGGGAAAGGAUCCGAAGACAAGAAGAAAUCUUGGGACUGGGAUUGAGCACGACGGCCUCUACUACCUUACCAAUGCCCCAUCUCCAUCUCCAUAUGCCCUCAGUAUGAUGAAUAGCUUGACCACUGAUGAAUUUCUACUAAUGCAUUAUAGACUAGGGCAUCUGUCAUUCCAAGCCCUUAGUCGCAUGUUUCCAUCUCAAGUUAAAAAUUAUUGUAAGGAGAAGCUUUUGUGUGAUGUGUGUGAACUGGCUAAACACACUAGAACCAAUUAUCCUAGUAGUAAUGAGAGAAGUAAGAUACCGUUUGAUGUGGUGCAUUCGGAUGUAUGGGGUCCAUCGGUUGUAACUGCCCUCACAGGGGAUAGAUAUUAUGUGACCUUCAUUGAUGGUUUUAGUAGGUGCACAUGGCUGUACCUCCUAAAGCAUAAAUCUGAAGUUCUGCCUGCAUUCAAAGAUUUUUUU